UUUCCUUGAAUUGGUUCUGUCAAUGCUAAUUUUAUUUUGUAUACGUUGAAAAAUGCAAUAAAAUGCUUCAUAUUGUUUAUCAAACAUAGCUUUACUCAACUGGAUCUUGAAUGACUUCUCCCUAACAUAGCAAUUCCCACUUUGGUACAAUUCCCACUUUAAACUCUUUUCCCUUGAUGAUGCUAUUUUGUUCUCCUCAUUCAAGGCAGAUUUGCAGAUAUACUCGUGGUUUGCUCAGUCGCUGGCAGUUGAGGAAGAGAUGUUUCCUUCAGCAUUUAGAGGUUCAGGUUCUCUUACCUAAAUGUAAAAUCUUGCAAUCAAAAUGCAACUCUUUAGGAAAAGUAAGCUUUGGAUUGCAAAAAUGUGGACAGUUGAUUUUGAGCCUGAAAUAACCAUAUUAAUGAAUGUUGUACUUAAAAGUUGCCUUCAAUAAUUCUUUUGCACUCUGGACUUGAGUGCUAACAAAGCAUCUCAAGAUAACAGGCACGCUGCAUAGCUCCAGCAUUUGCUAAGUCUUCCAGUCAGCAAGCUUAGCCUGGGCAAGAAAUUACUGCAUCACAGAUCCAGUCAACAUGGUAACUAAGCAGACUCCUGCAGUUAGCCUCUCCAGAAAUUAGCUGGAUAUUCCUCACUUGAUGUUGAUGGAUACUCUAGCUUGCCAAUUUAAUCAUGUAUUUAUGAUUUUCAUUUUCCCAAAUAACAAACUUAUCAAAACCAUUUGUUGUCAUUAUGUAGCAAUAUGCAUUACAUUGGAACAUCACCCAGAACUACUCAUAUCGAACCCACAAUGUGUGAGAAAAGAGCAGCUCUCAGCACAAACCUACCCUAUGUCCCAUCUCUUUUUAACACGGAACAUUAAUGCUGAGGAUCUGAUAUCAUCUUGCGGCAUUUGUAGCAUAAAUUGGACUUUCAUCUUCAUCGGGGCAGUCUUGGCCUUUCCACCUUCAUCUCCAACCUAAUAACAAUGACAUUAUGCAUUAUGAACUCACACCAACACCUAGUUUUGAAACUUCAUACAACUAAAAAUUACAGCGAAGGUUUAACAAAAGCUGUCAGUUGCAGAAAGGGUAGAAAUUUUCAACUUAACUUUGAAUGUCCAACUACCAAGAUAUCCUAGAAAGUUUACCUAAGCAAGCACUCUCAUGAUACUCUAGCCAGUAUUCACCCUGAAAUUCCAUUGGAUGACAGAUGACAAAAGGCUAUACAAUUUUAACAUGUAUACCACUGUGGCCAGUAUUAAAAUAUACUGAAAUUUAAAUGAUCUAAGCCACCAAUUUAAAAAGCUCUCUGAUGACAGUGGAAAAACAAACAUGGAAAAAAUCGCAGAGUUCCUGAUUCACAAUCCAUGUUGAAACUUGUAAGAUCACUAAAAAGCCUCAAGACUGCACUAAGUUUGAGCUGCUGAUAUGUAUAGCUGUAAAACUACAAUCCUGCAGUGAAUCACAUGGUAAUUUCCUCCCACUUCUAAUGUUCAAGGAAUGGUCACAAACCACAUCUUCAUAAAAAAGCGUAAAGCAUGACCUAAAUUGAUUGGAUGCAAUGAACGAUACUGAUUGUUGAGAGGUGAGAGCUCACUAACAUUUUCACAUUCACCUUAUUUAUGAUUAGCAUAAAUCUCUAGUAUCAUGUAAUUGAUAAGACGAUGACAAUGACAAUGGUAAUGAAGAUGAUGUGAUCAACAAAUAAAAGUUAAAUUUUGUAAUGCCAAAGAUAAGCAGCAACAAAAUUGAGGAAACAUUAACACUUACCCAAAGUGAAGCCCAACCAAGGCGCACAUCUGAAUCAUAGCCAGCUUUAAAUUUAUAAUCCUUGCCAUAUGUGUGUUUGUACACAGCACUCCAGUUGUUGGAGUCAAAAUUGUACCAGUAGCUGGAUCAUAUUUAUGAACCAAAAAAAUGAGAAACCAAAUUAAAAGUACACGACUCUUGGAGGGGGGAAAUGACAAUGAUAAAAAAAAUUUCUACAACCUAUUUGAUAUCAUAAAAAAAAAAAAUUUUUUUAGAUCAUCAAUCCAUACAGCAAGCCUGCAACUUGAAGCAUGUUACCAAAGUUUAAUUUCCAUUUCUCUACUUCUGGAAUUGUUUGGGACUUUUCACUUUUAUCAAAUUCAUUAAAAAACAGAAAAUAAGUAUAGGCUUCAUUGAACAUUCCUUUACAUUGUAAAUAUAGGUCUCACAGACUUCUUAAAAGUGGGCAAUCCACCUUCUUGAGACCUUUGUUCUAUUGAGAACUACACCAUGUACAUUUAUUGAUGCUGUUAAAUUUAUGGCACUUAGUUUUUGCUUUAUCCUAUACGCUUAGAAGUUAGAACUAACAUGGGUACUUGGAUGAUGACUCCCCAUAUGCAAGGGACGAUGACUUCCAGCAAACCUGCUUGUGACCAAACCCAUACUUUGAAUCCAAGCAAAUUAAAUCUGAAAUCUAGUUAGUUGCUGUAUUGAAAUCAACAUUAUAACAUUAGCUGCAUCCACAUGCAUCUAAGCAUGCAAUUCAAGAGCAUUUCAGCAUAGCGAAAUUACUGUCAAACUUCAGAUGUUUUCAGCUUACUAUCAGCAUUUGCAUCUCCAACUAUGCUUGUGCCACUUAUAUUGAUGAAAAUAUCUGUGGAUUGCUUCUAAAUGCUAGUUGUAAUUUAUUGAUAAUUCCAAGAUUAUAAAAGUAAACAAACUGGAAUGUUUCCUACAAAUGUCAUGACCUAUUGAUCGGGCCAGUAGUGAGUCUAAAGCAGGAUCAUCCAUCUUUGCUCAUCUCCCUUACUUCUAGUGAUGAUUCUUACCUAAUGUUUCUAUCCAAAGUGCAGACUAUCCCAAAAUACAACUUAUUCAUAACAAGCCAAUUUAUCUUGUUAAAAUAGUAAAUUCCAAUCAAAGAAUUGUAAGUCUCAAGAGGAAAGAUUCAGUGCAUUGGGGAGUCUUCUAACCUCAACUUAUUAUUGGGACUGAUCCGACGCUUGAAUGCAAAUGAUAAAGCAUUUGAAGGCAGAGAAAUGCUAGGGAUAAAUGAAAGUUCUUCAUCCUUAUAAGCAUAUCUUAGUUUCAAAUCUUCAUCAUUGAAUUGAGCAGAGCAUAGUCCAUUCAGAAUCUGGCCUUUGACAAUUCCACCUAUUGACAAUGUUCUUUUCACUUCCUCAUCUUCUCUCUCCUCAAGUGAAACCUCGCCAAGGGGGAAUUUCAAGGUUGCUCUUGGCAAACCAAUUGUUGGAACAGGAGAUGACAGCUCAAGAGCAUAGGCAGGAUCAGCAAGCUUUGCAAGCAUUGACACCUCUCCUUGUUGAGCCUUGACAUCAUGGGCAGCCCUGAAUUGCAAAGCGGGACCCACAUCAAAGGAGCCCUUGAUAAGAGCAAUUUGGUCAACAAGAUCAUAGUGAAUGGAGAGGAGUUUCGAAGUGAAGGUAAUUUGGGGUUCAGAGACCUCUCCUUUGUUGUUGUUCUGGAAAGAGAGCUUGAGUUUAACCAAGCUAUCAAACAACUUACAUGAGACCUUAUGGAAUAAUAAGGAACUAUCACUGUCAAACUCUGAGGUGACCCUAGCCGAGGGUCUCUUGAAGAAAAUGGGAAGUGAAGAAGGCGGUGAAGGUGGAGGUAGAGGUGGCGGCGGUGGGGAUUGGAGAGAGUGUAGGAGUGGAGGAGGUGGAUCUGCAGAUGCGAUGGGAGGGACCAUGUGAAUAGGCUGAGGAGGAGGAGGAAGAGAGAGCGUUGGUGGUGAUUCAGCCAUUGAUUGUCGUUGAUUGUUAUCUAUGAAGUGAUCUCUUUAAUUUGUUUGCUUGUGCAGUCUCCUCUCUUCUCUGUGUGUCUGGUAGAGAGCAAGAGUGGACUUUGGGUUUUUGGAUGGUGGCGGAAAUUUAGAUGAGAGAUUUCCUUGAUAUUUUUUUUUUUUU
rnacentral:misc_RNA from 1 species